GCUUACGGCCAUACCACCUUGGCACGCCCGAUCUCGUCUGAUCUCGGAAGUUAAGCAGGGUCGGGCCUGGUUAGUA
rnacentral:rRNA from 10 species